GAUGAACGCUGGCGGCGUGCCUAAUACAUGCAAGUCGAGCGAACAGACGAGGAGCUUGCUCCUCUGACGUUAGCGGCGGACGGGUGAGUAACACGUGGAUAACCUACCUAUAAGACUGGGAUAACUUCGGGAAACCGGAGCUAAUACCGGAUAAUAUAUUGAACCGCAUGGUUCAAUAGUGAAAGACGGUUUUGCUGUCACUUAUAGAUGGAUCCGCGCCGCAUUAGCUAGUUGGUAAGGUAACGGCUUACCAAGGCAACGAUGCGUAGCCGACCUGAGAGGGGGAUCGGCCACAUGGGAACGGAGACACGCUCCAGACUCCUAAGGGAGGCAGCAGUAGGGAAUCUUACGCAAUGGGCGAAAGCCUGACGGAGCAACGCCGCGUGAGUGAUGAAGGUCUUCGGAUCGUAAAACUCUGUUAUUAGGGAAGAACAAAUGUGUAAGUAACUAUGCACGUCGUGACGGUACCUAAUCAGAAAGCCACGGCUAACUACGUG
rnacentral:rRNA from 1 species